rnacentral:rRNA from 1 species
AUGGCUUUGAAAAGCAAAAGGGCCACGGGAAGAACUGUUGGUGAAAAUGAGGGAGAAGAGGUGGUGGCUCAAACAACAAGGAGCAAUGUUGGAUGCAAGCUUGGGCAGACGGAUGAGGGUCCUGUCUGGGGUGGUCGGGCGGGGAAACGGGCCACCAAUGAUGAAGGAGGGAGGCAUCCGAAACGUGCGAAGAAAGUCAAGCACAUGAUUGGUAGCAGUGGGCCACCACCGAGGAACAGGGCAUCACCUUCAAGACUUUUUGUCCUAAACAGUGGCCUUGAGGAUAUACAAAAGGAUGCCAUCGGUGAUAUAAGCUUUGGCGGUGUCCUUGAUAUUGGCACAAGAACAAUUAAGGCGUUGUUUGGAUAA